CUGUUGCACAAAAGUAGAAUUAAGACAUCCGGGAUAAAUGACUAAGCUGAGCUCAAUGAAGCCAAAACAUGUGCGUCCAGGCUUAAUUGGUUGCACAAAGACCAAGCCAGGAUGAGCAGACACGGAUUCAUUAAGCCGGGUGAAACCAAUCCUGGAUAGGUGCGCGCUCACGGCUCACUCAAAUAGACCCCGCCACAGAUCACAGAUUAACUGAUUUACCAUGGCAACUAGAGCCGCGUACUUUUCCCCGUCGGAAGCACAAAUCCUCAUGGAGGCAUACGAGGAGGUAAAAUAUAUAAUUAAGAAGAAAGGCAACACCGCCACAGUGAUAAAGCAAAGAGAAAAAGCGUGGCAAAGUAUUGCAGACCGCCUGAAUGCAUGGUCUGCAAUGCUGACUGUGUGAUCAGCAAUGUUGUGGCAAAAUGGCCUGGCUCAGUCCAUGACUCCAGAAUCUUUCGGGCCUCUGAAAUCUAUCAGUGCCUAUCACAAGGUGAAUUCUCUGGUGUGUUGCUGGGAGACAGGGGGUAUGGCUGCCAGCCUUUUCUCCUGACACCUUUCACAGACCCCAGGAAGCACAGCAGGCCUACAACCAUGCCCAUGCCAGGACCAGGGCCAGAGUUGAAAUGACCUUUGGCCUCCUGAAGGCACGCUUUCACUGCCUUCACAAAUUAAGGGUCAGCCCUGUUAGGGCAUGUGAUAUUACUGUGGCUUGUGCUGUCCUCCACAAUGUGGCCUGCCUGAGGAAGGAGAGGGCCCCCAGAGUGCCACCAGCCAUGGACUGGGACAAUCCGGCAAUCUUCCCUGAUGACGACAGUGGUUGGCUGCUGAGGGACCAAUAUGUGUUGAAUUAUUUUAGUUAGUAUGUGUGCUUUCAAUUUUGGUUAAAUAUGUCCUGCGGUGGCAGAGGAAUUUGGGU